AUCCCGAUUUUUACGUCGCCUUCGUCGCUAGUAUCGAGCUCCUUCUUAGUCACGAUCAUCUCUAUCCCGUAUAGAUACUCCCACACUCGCUGCUUCUUCCCUUUUACUGAAUCCAAAUCCAUCAUCACUUUCUCUUGCUGAGCCCGGCUGCGAUGUCCGGAACCUUAAUUUCAAUCCACACACAACUUUAAAAGAAAAUUUUUUUUUUUAAAAAAGUUACAAAACAUGAAUCCUUCUUGUGCGCCAAGAAAAAAAAAGGAAAAAGAAAAUAAUAUGAGAAAAAAAAGUAUGAAGAAAUCUUAUUUUACUCAUUUGUUCUUAUAGAAUCAAUUUAUUUAGAUGAUUGACCAAAUAAAUAUAUUAAUUGAGAGGUGGGGGUUAGAAAGAUGAAGCAUCGGGUGAAGUUGGAACCAUGUAAACACAUUAAUUGAGAGGUAGGGAUUAGGAAGAUGAAGUAUUAGGUGGAGAUGGAACUAUAUAAACACAUUAAUUGAGAGGUAGGAGGUUAGAAAGAUGAAGCAUUGGUUAGAGAUGAGAGUGGGAAGAUGGAAGGCAAGGGUGAAGGAGGAUACGCCAUGUGGCAAAAGUUUAUGAAAAAUAAUGUAUAGGUAUAAAUAUAAAUAUAAAUAUGUUGCAUGUAAAUUCAUAU
rnacentral:lncRNA from 1 species